AGCCUUUUCCAAUUCUACCUGCCAACCUUGUUACUGGACGAUCGCUGUCACCAUUGAAUAGCUCCGUCACCAAUUAGCCCCUACUCUCGAAACACCACACCGAUGUCGGAAACAUCUUUGGAAAAUGGCAUCAUUUCAAACUCGCUAGCUAUAAUGCACCGACACUUUAGAAAACCUGACAUGUUCUGUCCGAUAUUUUCCGACACUAAAUCGUGCUAUUUCUGUGUAUUGAGUUGCAGAGAACAUGGCUUCAGUAGUGCCUCUGAAUCAGCCUGGAUAGAUUUUCCCGUAGAGAACGCAUACUCAGGAGUAUCGCGUCGUCUCGCAAACUGACCAAAGAAACUCACCAGAACCUCAAUGAUUCAAGGAAUGAUUCCAACAAUUUAUGCAAAUCCUAGCCGCCUACGAGAAGCGUGUGCAGUGGCAUGAAGUUGGUGAGAAGGUUUCAGCUUGUGGCAUGAAACUGGAAAGCAAAAAGCAAGCUAUGGGCGUCAGAGUCAGAGUGAGAGAGCGGUUUGUGGACGCACAAAAUUUAGCAGCGUUUGCGUUUGCGUUUGCGUGUGAGAGUGAGUGAGUGAGUUUUCAAUUUGACAUUUAUACCCUCUUUGAUCUUCAUCUUCAUCUUCUCUCCGUUUCCAUGGCGCCUGCUAUGAGGAUCCUUUUCGGACUUCUCACAUUUGUCACCAUCGGAAUGAUUAUAGGUGCUCUCUCGCAAUUGGCAUUCAUACGAAAAUUGGAAGAAUCAUAUGG